ensembl:lncRNA
UGAAACUGGAUGAUCAUUGUGGUCCUUUUCAACCCAGGCCGUUCUAUGAUUCUAUGAUACUAUGAUCGUGUCCAAACACAAAGUCCAGUCAUAGCAGUCUUCAACACAGUCCAAAGAAUAGCGGGCACCUGCUCAAAGGACUGCUAAAUUCUUCCUUUUGCCAAUUCAGAGUCUCCUGAUUUGUUAGUAAUGCUUCCUCUCUCCCAGUUUCUCAUCCUAUCAGGUGUAUUAGCACUGUACUCGAGUUGGUGGAAAUUCAGGAAAUCUUGCAUAUGAAAAAAAUGCCUUUAGCUUCUCUUUAUUUAUCUUUUAUUUCCUUAGGUCCACAGUAGAAAGUAUUCAUUCUUUUACUGCCACUUGGGUUUUUCUUCACAAAAUAUUUUUGUAGAUUUUGCCUCUUGCUAAAAAUACCUUCUUAGACGAAUGGUAAAUUAUGCAUUUUGUUCGUCUUGAUGAGUCCAUGAGAUAUGCCAGCACUUGAUUCAACCAGCAGGAAAACAAAUGCUACAACUGAGAAAUUCCUGCAAGGAAAAGCAGGUCUGGGCAGCCACCACAGGUGCUUCAUUAAUCUGUUGCAACUGACACUUACAGAUUGACGCUUAACGUACUGCCAUGAGUGGAUGAUUACAAUCCCCAUACCCUGAAGGGCAUUUUCAUAUCAAAAUAGAGUUGAGACAAAUCAGUAGAGAAGAGAGAAGCUUUGCUCUUUUGACAAAACAAGAACAUUUACAACUCAGAAGCACUUUAUCUCCUUGAGUGUCACUUUGAAUGAGUCAGAGAGGAUAACGAGCUGAUGCAGGAGAAUGUGUGAUGUGAUAUCAUGUCUUUUCAUGUGCUUCUCAGUUCUACCAAGGUUACUUCUUUAUGAAUAAUCAAGAAUGGAAAAGAUGUAAAGAUUGGACUCUGAAGUAAACAGAAAGCUUACUCAACUCAUACCACGACACUCAUUAGGACAGGUGUUUGAAAUACGCCUGCAAUGCUUGCUUUCUCUUGAAGAUGGACUGCACUGAGCUGCCUGGAGGAAUGAAACCUGCUUGUCCUGGCUUUUCUCAGUGUACUUUGAAAGACGUGGGAGGGGGACAUCAGGGUGCUCAGAUCUGAGUACCUUCCCUUGUUAGUGCUGUAAGUUCUUUCUUAGCAGAGGAAACUGUGACCAAGUGAAUAUAUGUCAUUAUCUCAAAUGAAACAUGAUUGUAUUUCCUAUUUUUUCUAACAGCACAGAGGUCAUUCUAGACAUUUCCAAUCCUGUAAGUUCAUCAAUUUCAUCAGUUCUGACCUUUCCUUCAUUUUUUGUUACUGCAGCUGUAUCUCAGCUUAGGCUAGCGGAUGCUUCACUUGUCAUUUUUGUCCCUGACCCGUGGAGACAGCUGAGAUCCAGGCACUCAAAAACCCAGCACGGACGUGCACUCUGCUGUUCAAGCUGGUUCCAGGCAUACAAGGAUAUAAGCAUGAAAAUGAUACUGUUCUAUACAUACCUGUUACCAAAAAGUAAUCUCAAUCAUCUUUGAACUGGUGACCAAAACUCUAAGCAUGUAAUAAUUUAACUUGCUUUAUUACAUAAUAAUAAUUUAAGAUAAAUCAAAAUUUGUUAAAAUUUAUUGAGUAAAAUUUCCAGUGGGUGUUUUUUCCUCCAGGAAAUGUAAGGAGUUCUGCA